rnacentral:lncRNA from 1 species
UUAGAGUUGAAGAGGGGAUGAAAUUCUGUUAUGAUUUUUGAAGUGAGAGGUUAGGGUUUGUUUGAAAUGAAUAAGCUUGAAAUGGAUUAUGCUAUCAAUUUUUAACCGUUCUUGAAUUUGUUUUAUUUUUUUUUACUCUGUUAUGGUUUUCUAUGAAGUAAGUUUGGAACAUUUAUUGUAGGUUCUCAUUCAAUCCUUUUGGUUUUUUGGUGAAUUUAUGCAUGUUGUUUUUG